AUUGAACGCUGGCGGCAUGCUUUACACAUGCAAGUCGAACGGUAACAGGCCUUCGGGUGCUGACGAGUGGCGAACGGGUGAGUAAUGCAUCGGAACGUGCCCAGAGGUGGGGGAUAACGCAGCGAAAGCUGUGCUAAUACCGCAUGUGAUCUGAGGAUGAAAGCGGGGGACCAGGCAGCAAUGUUUGGCCUCGCGCCUUUGGAGCGGCCGAUGUCAGAUUAGGUAGUUGGUGGGGUAAAGGCCUACCAAGCCGACGAUCUGUAGCUGAUCUGAGAGGACGACCAGCCACACUGGGACUGAGACACGGCCCAGACUCCUACGGGAGGCAGCAGUGGGGAAUUUUGGACAAUGGGCGAAAGCCUGAUCCAGCAAUGCCGCGUGCGGGAAGAAGGCCUUCGGGUUGUAAACCGCUUUUGUAAGGAACGAAAAGGCUCUGGCUAAUACCUGGGGCUGAUGACGGUACCGUAAGAAUAAGCACCGGCUAACUACGUG
rnacentral:rRNA from 1 species